ensembl:lncRNA
AUGAGAACGCUCCGUUACCACGAAGAUACACGCGACAGCACACAGCGCACGCGGAGCUGGAAGAGACUGCACGACACGGAAUCGGAACACGGCAGGAACCGGAACACGCAGGAGUCGCUGGACGAGCCGAGCGAGCGCGCGGGACUCGAAGACGCUGGGCAAGAGACUAAGCGGCCAGGUGCUCGACCACACAGCGCAAAAGAAAUUCAGAAUCUCAAGGAACUGUGCUUUUCCUAUCACAUCGGCAGGAAUUCAACAACGACAAUGUACUCGGUGCGUUCAAGGAACGGUGGAAGCUGCAUCUUCUUUCUCUGCUGGUGCAUAGCUAGAAAUUCUUAG